GGGUGGUAAUGCCGGAUGCUCCGACUCCUCGCAUGGGGUGUCGGGAAAGAUUUCAUCGGUAUGGGAUGGGGUCGCGUCCUAUCAGGUAGUCGGCGGGGUAACGGCCCACCGAGCCUACGACGGGUAGCCGGCCUGAGAGGGCGACCGGCCACAUUGGGACUGAGAUACGGCCCAGACUCCUACGGGAGGCAGCAGUGGGGAAUAUUGCACAAUGGGCGCAAGCCUGAUGCAGCGACGCCGCGUGCGGGAUGACGGCCUUCGGGUUGUAAACCGCUUUUGAUCGGGAGCAAGCCUUCGGGUGAGUGUACCUUUCGAAUAAGCACCGGCUAACUACGUGCCAGCAGCCGCGGUAAUACGUAGGGUGCAAGCGUUAUCCGGAAUUAUUGGGCGUAAAGGGCUCGUAGGCGGUUCGUCGCGUCCGGUGUGAAAGUCCAUCGCUUAACGGUGGAUCUGCGCCGGGUACGGGCGGGCUGGAGUGCGGUAGGGGAGACUGGAAUUCCCGGUGUAACGGUGGAAUGUGUAGAUAUCGGG
rnacentral:rRNA from 1 species